AACGAACGCUGGCGGCAUGCCUAACACAUGCAAGUCGAACGAGAACUUCGGGUCUAGUGGAGCACGGGUGCGUAAGGCGUGGGAACCUGCCCUUAGGUUCGGAAUAACUCCCCGAAAGGGGUGCUAAUACCGGAUAAUGUCUUCGGACCAAAGACUUUUCGCUUUUGGAUGGGGCCGCGUUGGAUUAGCUAGUUGUUAUGGUACAAGCCUACCAAGGCGACGAUCCGUAGCUGGAUGGAGAGGGUGAUCAGCCAGACUGGGACUGAGACACGGCCCAGACUGGAGCGAGAGGCAGCAAUGAGGAAUAUAGGACAGUGGGCGAAAGGCAGAUCCAGCAAUGCCGGGAGAAUGAUGAAGGGCUUAGGGUUGGAAAGCACUUUGAACCGAGAUGUUAAUGACAGUACCGGGAGAAUAAGCACCGGCUAACUCCGUG
rnacentral:rRNA from 1 species